CAGUUUCGUAGCAUUUACAGCCAAGUCAACUAAUUUUACUCUAGAUUGGUCUUUGGAGCUCAUCUUUAUUGAACACAGUGGUAGGCUGGUUGUUCUGGAACAGGAUAUUGCUGCAGGAUGUGAUGUGAUGACAUAUUUCUAAUGGUUUGUUCGCUAAGCUGGAUGGUUUUAUAGUGUCCACACCCACGAGAGUGCAUUUGUCUGGAUUGGAAUCUGGGUCUUAUCUUGAUUGGACACAGUUGUGUUGUUCUGGAACAGGAUGUUCAUGCUGUACAGCAUGAUGGAUUGUUGACAAACACAAGCAGGAAUGAUGUUUUGCAGCGAUGCCACUACUCAAAGAAUCAUUCAGAUUCUUUAGGGGCUCUUUCUGAUUGGACAUAACCUCAUGACUCUUCAAUAAACUGGACUGUCAUAGUGUACUGCAAUCAAAGUAAUGACACCGUACGCAGAUCCAUUUAAAGCUGCGACACGGAUGUGGACUGGUCGUCGACAGCGCCUCGCCGCAAGACCGUAAAUCGAGUUUCAUCACAAGUACUUGUGAUUUGGGUCAGGGUCCUGCUGGACUGUAGGGAGGUGCUGGUGAGCUGUCUGCCCAGCCACGGCUCUUCCCUUCACGGACACCGAGCCAACAACGCCUGGUUAAAUCCUCCAUCCUCCCCCCAUCAUCCCUCCUUCCUCUCUUCUUCCUCCCUCCCUCCCAAUCCCUCCCUCCUCCUCAUCGUCGGGCCUUCGCCGGUGCGGUGCCACGUUGCUUAGAAGGACUUAAUCAAGUGGUGCCGAAACAUACCCAUGCAGAUCAUAUUCUGCUCUUAAAUAUCUUUAAGGUUCUCGUCAAAGUCUUUGCUGCAGUUAAAAUAUAGCAUUUAAACCCACAAGGUCAACUUCCUCACACAUAUGUUUGCCUCAAGGGACAGUUUUGUGCAAACAUUAGGGCAACUGUCACAAUACGAUAUUCUGUCUGUAUGCUACUGCCAUCUAGUGGCUGCUCAAUAAUAUAAGUCCCUUAGGUUUUGUUGACUGAAGCUACUGUGCUUUAUUUAUAUUUGGAACAUCUGAAAAUAUACAUCUUGACCAUGAUAUACUAGCACAUAUUUACAUUCUUAAAAAAACAUUAAAUGGGGAAGUCUUUUGGUUUUUAAGAGCAACAAUGUGUCCUACUCAUAGAAACAUGGAGGUCGAUUGAAUGAAUACAAAGCACACAUUCUAAUAAAUAUAGCUUUUUUUUCUGAAAUGCAUGUAAACAUUUGCAGGACUUUAUCAAAAACUAUAUACAGGGUAAAAUACACUAAUAAUAGAGGUGUAAUAAAUUAGACUGUUGUUGAAAAGUUUAGUUCAAUAGUUGAUUAUAAAAAGUGAAACUUUCCACCCAAUCGGCCUCGCAGGAAACAAAAUGGAUAAUUGCACAAUAAAUUGUAAAAUGCAUUUCUUUCUGAAUAAAAGUGUCCUAAAUGUU